rnacentral:rRNA from 1 species
CAGGGAUUGCCUCAGUAACGGCGAGUGAAGCGGCAACAGCUCAAAUUUGAAAUCUGACCCCGUCGGGGCCCGAGUUGUAAUUUGUAGAGGGUGUUUCGGGCGCGGCGCCGGUCUAAGUUCCUUGGAACAGGACGUCAUAGAGGGUGAGAAUCCCGUCUGCGACCGGCGAUCAACCCCAUGUGAAGCCCCUUCGACGAGUCGAGUUGUUUGGGAAUGCAGCUCCAAAUGGGUGGUAAAUUUCAUCUAAAGCUAAAUACGGGCCAGAGACCGAUAGCGCACAAGUAGAGUGAUCGAAAGAUGAAAAGCACUUUGGAAAGAGAGUCAAACAGUACGUGAAAUUGUUGAAAGGGAAGCGCUUGCGAUCAGACCGGUUCGGGGGCGAUCAGCCGCGGCUCGUCCGCGGUGCACGCGCCCUCGAUUCGGCCAGCAUCGGUUCGGGCGGCGGGAGAAAAGCCCCGGGAACGUAGCUUCCUCCGGGGAGUCUUAUAGCCCGGGGCGCAAUGCCGCCCGCCCGGACCGAGGACCGCGCUUCGGCUAGGAUGCUGGCGUAAUGGUCGCAAGCGACCCGUCUUGAAACACGGACCAAGGAGUCUAACAUCGAUGCGAGUGUUUGGGUGUCAAACCCAGGCGCGGAAUGAAAGUGAACGGAGGUGGGAACCCGGCGACGGGCGCACCAUCGACCGAUCCGGAUGUUUUCGGAUGGAUUUGAGUACGAGCAUCGCUGUUGGGACCCGAAAGAUGGUGAACUAUGCCCGGAUAGGGUGAAGCCAGAGGAAACUCUGGUGGAGGCUCGCAGCGGUUCUGACGUGCAAAUCGAUCGUCAAAUCUA